UGUUGAGGGACCACUUACAAUUAUUUCACAAAUUACUGUUAAAAUAGAAAAGUUUCAGCUCUAAAAUCAAUAUUAAUCACUAGAAUUUCAACAAAGACAUAUUAAUCAGUUUUAGCAAUUUUUCUCCAUUUUAAAAUCAUGCAUUGAUGGUGUAUACUAAAAUCAUGUCACAUUAUUAGUUUUUUUUUUUAAAUAAAUAAUAUUAACAGUUUUUAUUUUUAGUAUAUUAAAUAUAAAUCCAUAAAAUCGGCAUAAAAUAAGAACGGAUUGCAUGAAGAUAGUAAGUAUAGAUGGAAAAGUAGAGAAUUAAGUGGCUUACUCUCGAAAGGAGGCAUAUCAAGGACUGCAUUUGGUUUCUACCAAGUGAGUCACCAACAAAGGCCAAAGAUUUGCCCCUAACAAUCUCCAGGAACUGAGCUGGGUUCAGCACAGUUCUGGUGCUCGUGUAUGGCCCAGCACGUCGUGUUGGUGUAGUACGGCGCGGCGUGGUUCGGCACCCAUUCCCCCAAGAAUAUGUCGCAGUCCUCUCCUUCGGAUAUCUUUAUCGAAGGCAGGGAUUCGGAUUGUUGAGACUCGUAUGCGGUGGUGGGCAAGGGCCUGGAAGAUGAGGCUUUUGAGACGUAUAAAGGAUACCCUAUCAAAGGGUAAAGCACAGGGAUUACUGUGAGAACAACUAAGGUGACAAAGA